CAAGGUCUCCGUAGGUGAACCUGCGGAGGGAUCAUUACAAGAACGCCCGGGCUUCGGCAGCUGGUUAUUCAUAACCCUUUGUUGUCCGACUCUGUUGCCUCCGGGGCGACCCUGCCUUCGGGCGGGGGCUCCGGGUGGACACUUCAAACUCUUGCGUAACUUUGCAGUCUGAGUAAACUUAAUUAAUAAAUUAAAACUUUUAACAACGGAUCUCUUGGUUCUGGCAUCGAUGAAGAACGCAGCGAAAUGCGAUAAGUAAUGUGAAUUGCAGAAUUCAGUGAAUCAUCGAAUCUUUGAACGCACAUUGCGCCCCCUGGUAUUCCGGGGGGCAUGCCUGUUCGAGCGUCAUUUCACCACUCAAGCCUCGCUUGGUAUUGGGCAACGCGGUCCGCCGCGUGCCUCAAAUCGUCCGGCUGGGUCUUCUGUCCCCUAAGCGUUGUGGAAACUAUUCGCUAAAGGGUGUUCGGGAGGGCUACGCCGUAAAACAACCCCAUUUCUAAGGUUGACCUCGGAUCAGGUAGGGAUACCCGCUGAACUUAAGCAUAUCAAUAAGCGGAGGA
rnacentral:rRNA from 1 species